rnacentral:rRNA from 1 species
UGGGGAAUAUUGGACAAUGGGCGAAAGCCUGAUCCAGCCAUGCCGCGUGUGUGAAGAAGGUCUUCGGAUUGUAAAGCACUUUAAGUUGGGAGGAAGGGCUGUAAGCGAAUACCUUGCAGUUUUGACGUUACCGACAGAAUAAGCACCGGCUAACUUCGUGCCAGCAGCCGCGGUAAUACGAAGGGUGCAAGCGUUAAUCGGAAUUACUGGGCGUAAAGCGCGCGUAGGUGGUUUGGUAAGUUGGAUGUGAAAGCCCCGGGCUCAACCUGGGAACUGCAUCCAAAACUGCCUGACUAGAGUACGGUAGAGGGUGGUGGAAUUUCCUGUGUAGCGGUGAAAUGCGUAGAUAUAGGAAGGAACACCAGUGGCGAAGGCGACCACCUGGACUGAUACUGACACUGAGGUGCGAAAGCGUGGGGAGCAAACA